rnacentral:rRNA from 1 species
GACGAACGCUGGCGGCGUGCCUAAUACAUGCAAGUAGGACGCAGUUGCGAACGGGUGAGUAACGCGUAGGUCACUGCCUACUCGAGGGGGAUAACUAUUGGAAACGAUAGCUAAUACCGCCUACUAGUAGAUGGACCUGCGUUGUAUUAGCUAGUAGGUGGGGUAAUGGCCUACCUAGGCGACGAUACAUAGCCGACCGGAGAAGAUGCUAGGCCAAACUGGGACUGGAAAACGGCCCAGGCGCCGUCGAGAGGCAGAAGUAGGGGAACUGAGGCAAUAGGGGGAACCCUGACCGAGCAAAGCGGCGAGAGUGAAGAAGGUAUUCUGGUCGUAAAGGUCUGUUGUGAAGGAAGCGGUACUUAACCAGAAAGGGACGGCUAACUACGUGCCAGCAGCCGCGGUAAUUC